GUAUGUAUUUAUAUAUGUAUACAUGUAUACACACAGGUACAUACACACACACACACAGAGUACCUAGUAUAUAAUACCUCUUAAAAUCUUUCUCAAUAUCAAAAUCCUAUUCCCAAACUCUUGUCUGCCUAUUCUGUGUUCUCUCCAAACAGUUCUAUUCUCCAUUCCAUAAACAGGAAAUUCUAGCCAAAAAUGUAUGAGAAUAAGAUUGUAGAACUUUGAUUUUUCUCAAUUUCCUCCCUCCAACUAUAUUUAAGUGUAAGUAACCUGUCUAUUGGCACUAAACUAUAGAAAGAUUAUUUAAUCAGAUAGCACGGGAUUGUUCCAUAAUCUCCUACAAAAUUUGAUUCCUGCAUUAUAGCAUUAUCACAGUGUGUCUUACAUUUCAGUAAUUAAAAUGUUUUUAGUUUCUCUAUUGAUAUGUGGCUCAUAGAAAACAGCAAGAAAUAUCUUAAUUACAGUUGACUGUUGAACAACAUGGGUUUGAAUUGUAUGGGUCCACUUAUACAUGAAUUUUCUUCACUUCUGCCACCCCUGAGGCAACAAGACCAACCCUUCCUCAUUCUCCUCCUUCUCAACAUGAAGACAAGGAUGAGCACCUUGAUGAUGAUCCAUCUCCACUUAAUGAAGACUUGGUAGACACUUGUGCACUGUAUGAGUCCGUUUUCAUGCUCCUGAUAAAGACAUACCCCAGACUGAGAAGAAAAAGAGGUUUAAUUGGACUUACAGUUCCACAUGGCUGGAGAGGCCUCAGAGACAUGGUGGGAGGCAAAAAGCACUUCUUACAUAGCGGCAACAGGAGAAAAUGAGGAAGAAGCAAAAGCGGAAACGCUGAUAAACCCAUCAGAUCAGGGCUUCUGCAGUACUAUGCUGAACAGAAGAGGUGAAGGUAAGCAUCCUCAUCUUAUUCCUCAUCUUAUAGGAAAAGCUUUCACAUUUUCUCCAUUGAGGAUGAUGUUUAUUGUGGGCUUGUCAUACAUGAACUUUAUUAUGUUGAUGUACUUGCUUUCUAAACCUAGCUGUUGUGUGUUUUUAUCAUGAAAAGGUAUUGAAUUUUGUCAAAUACUUUUUUUGUAUUUAUUUACAUUAUCUUGUUAUUUUUAUCCUUCAUUCUAUUAAUGUGGUAUAUUGCAUUUGCUAAUUUGUAUAUGACGUUGAACCACCCUAAAGGUUCCUCAAAUAAAAACUUAGAACAAAUAAACAAAUUCAGUAAGGUUUCAGGAUACCAAAUCAAUGUACACAAAUCCACUGCAUUUCUAUUCACUAAAAGUAAAGCAUCUGAAAAGGAAAUUAAGAAAACAAUCCCAUGUACAAUGGCGUCAGAAAGAAUAAAAUGCUUGGUAAUAAACGUGACCAAGAAAGUGAAAUACUUGCUUCUUGAUAACUAUAAAACAUUGAUGAAAAAAAUUAAAGACACAAAUAAAUAAAAAACUUCCUCUGUGUUCAUGGAUUGAAUGACAAUAUUGAUCGGGUAUCCACACUAAACAAAGUAAUCUACAGAUUUAAAUUUAUUGCCAUCAAAUUCCCAAUGGCAUUUUUUAAAAUAUAAAAGCAAUUUGAAAUUCAUAUGGAACUACAAAAGAUCCAAAACACCCACAGAAAUCUUGAGACAGAGGAACAAAGCUGAAGGUAUCACACUUCCUGAUUUCAAAAUAUAUUAUAGAGCUACAGUAAUAAAACAGUAUGGUACAAGCAUAAAGACAAACAUAUAAACAAACAGAACAGAAUGGAGAGCCCAGAAAUAAACCCAUAUAUAUGGACAAGUGACCUGUGACACAGAUGCCAAGAAUACACAGUAGGGAAUGGAUACUCUCUUCAACAAAUGGCAUGAAGAAUAUCAGGUAUCAUGGAGUUUUCAGCCUUUUUGCGUGGGUUUUCCCUCAUGUUCAUGGAUUUAUC
rnacentral:lncRNA from 1 species